rnacentral:tRNA from 1 species
GGGCUCAUAGUAUAGCGGUAAUACGCAUCCAUGGCAUGGAUGAGUUCGGGGUUCAACUCCCCGUGAGUCCACCA